UUGUGAAUCGGAGAAUCACUUGAAAUUAAAACAAGAGUUCCUUUAAUCCUUUCUAGGUCGUUGAGUUCUUUAGAACACAUGAUAUUGGAUCCGGCGGAUUAGCCCUCAAUCAAUCAAUAGAACAAAUCAAGUUGAAUAUACGGUUUGUUGAGGCCUCCCAGUCUAGUAUCAUUGAUUGGAUUAACGUGAAUGUGGAUCAACAAUAUGUAAAAUAAAUAAAAAUAAUUUUAUUGUUUAAA